ensembl:lncRNA
CUGAGAUUUUGUGAAGGAGAGAGGAUUCAAACUGAGUCGACUGCUGAAAAAUGUAUCCACGUGUCAUGAAGGCAGUCUGUAUCGAGCGUGUUUGACGUCCCUGUCAUUGAGGUCCGUCCUGUCACACACGUGCGCUCUACAGUGCCAGAGUCUUCCGUCGAUAUUACAGGCCACUCAUAGACGCAGCGCGGCAGAAUACCGAUAACUAGCUUAUUCAGCCGACAAGCACCACAGUCAUCACCUGGCAACCAACACGGAUCGCGAUGGCAUAGGCUGACGGCUCGGCACAUCCAGCUGCACCGACGCAUAUGGUCCUCAGACACACCGGCAUCUGGCACCACUACCCGCCCGUAUGAUCUCCACCACCAGAGGAAGAGCGGCUCACACAAGAAGCCGCCGCCGCCGCCGCCGCCACCGCUGCCACGCAAGCUCCACAGCUGUCGGGUACUAACCGUCCCUGUUCAGGAUUUUGGAUGGAAGUCCAGUGGUGUUUGACAGCCAUUUGCUGGGACACCUGGAAAAGAAGCCACGCCCACCAGUUGUGAUUGGUUGGAGCGUUUUUUCACCGGAAUGGCUGCUGAUUUAUCUACUGCAUACUGAUACUCAAUUGUACUAAUUAGUUUGGUUUUGGGUUGACAGACAAGAGACCUAUUAUAACUACAUCAUAAUGUCAAACAAUAAACCAACCAUAUAAAUA